rnacentral:lncRNA from 1 species
GCUAGGAGCACAGUUAAGCUAUUUUCGAUGAUGGGACUUUCGAAUUGACAAUCGAUUUUAUUAGACUUGAUCUAGCGUAUUUGAAUUAUUUAUAAAAUAAUUUGUACAGAUUUUUUAUAUUAUUUACUCAAUAGUCAAAAUGAUUCAAAAUCAACAAUAUUUAAUAGUUGAUGUAUCAUUUAACAGUGUAGAAGUAUUCAAAAUAGAUAAAAUUUUGAUACAAACUUUUUAAUACUAUCUACAAUAAGAUCAAUAUUUAUGAUUGAAAAUUUUAGGGCUAUAAUAUAAUUUUUUGUGAGUUUUUUGUUUUCAACUAUUGAUUUUGAGUCCUGUUGAUCACUAGGUAUAGGAUAUAAAAAAAAAAAACCGCAAAAAUUAUUUUCUAAAUAGUUCAAAUACACUGAAUCAAGUCUAACGGAGUCGAUCAUCAAUUCGAAAACUACAUCAUCGAAAACAGCUUAGAAAUACAGAGGCUUCCGUGCUCCAAAUAGCAUAUAAAACCUACUAUAUUGUAAAAAUAUACUUAUAUUUUGAUUU